rnacentral:rRNA from 1 species
AGAGAGAGACAUGCGCGCAUAUCAAUAAGCGGAGGAAAAGAAACUAACAAGGAUUCCCCUAGUAACGGCGAGUGAAGCGGGAAGAGCUCAAAUUUGAAAUCUUAAAGGGUUUCCCUUUACGAAUUGUAGUUUAAAGAAGUGUUUUCUGUUGAGGUUUUGGUAAAAGUUCUUUGGAAUAGGACAUCAUAGAGGGUGAGAAUCCCGUAUUUGACCCUUACUUUCAACUUUGUGAUACACUUUCAAAGAGUCGGAUUGUUUGGGAAUGCAGUCCAAAAUGGGUGGUAAAUUUCAUCUAAAGCUAAAUAUUGGCGAGAGACCGAUAGCGAACAAGUACCGUGAGGGAAAGAUGAAAAGAACUUUGAAAAGAGAGUUAAACAGUACGUGAAAUUGUCAAAAGGGAAGCGUUUGACACCAGUGUUGUUUUUCUGAAAAUCAAUUAAAGAACUGUUUAUGCUAAGUUGUUUAGACUUUAUCAGCUAACUGUUUAGUUUUGAGCUUUUCUUUAAUGCACUUUUCAGUUAACAAGUCAACAUCAAUUUCUUUUGCUGUAAAAAAGCUUGAGGAAGGUGGCUUGAGAUUCGUCUUAAGUGUUUAUAGCCUCUUGCCUAUGCAGUCGGAGAGAUUGAGGUCUGCAGCGUAGAUCCUUCGGGGCUAAAUGCAUUUGUGCUAAGUUAUAGCAUUUUAUAGACAACUUGUUGACUAUGAUUUGUCUUGUAGCUUACUCGCUUAUGUUAUUUUACCUACGCUUAGGAUGUUGAAGACUCUACAGAGAUA